rnacentral:rRNA from 1 species
AGGACGAACGCUGGCGGCGUGCUUAACACAUGCAAGUCGAGCGGUAAGGCCUUUCGGGGUACACGAGCGGCGAACGGGUGAGUAACACGUGGGUGAUCUGCCCUGCACUUCGGGAUAAGCCUGGGAAACUGGGUCUAAUACCGGAUAUGACUUCAGGUUGCAUGACUUGGGGUGGAAAGAUUUAUCGGUGCAGGAUGGGCCCGCGGCCUAUCAGCUUGUUGGUGGGGUAAUGGCCUACCAAGGCGACGACGGGUAGCCGACCUGAGAGGGUGACCGGCCACGACUGGGACUGAGACACGGCCCAGACUCCUACGGGAGGCAGCAGUGGGGAAUAUUGCACAAUGGGCGAAAGCCUGAUGCAGCGACGCCGCGUGAGGAUGACGGCCUUCGGGUUGUAAACCUCUUUCAGCGAGGACGAAGCGCAAGUGACGGUACCUGCAGAAUAAGCACCGCUAACUACGUGCCAGCAGCCGC